UAUGAUGACCGGAGACACAGCUGUUGGAGGAAAAAAGUUUAUGUCAAUUAAAAUCCUGAAUUUCUCUGAUCUGGAAAGAAAAACUGCUAUGAACUCUUUAGCUCAACUUCUUGAUGAAGACAACAAACCCAGUGAAAAUAACUGAAAGACUGGAAUUCAGAUGGCCAGAGUGGAGCAACCAUUUCAACACCCAAGAUAUUUGCUAAAGACUACAAAAGAUGCCAACACAAGUGCUGAAGAGGAUGCUACAUGAGAGAAAGAUGGAUUCGUAUGUGGAAAAGCCUUCUAAGGAUAAAGUCUACCAUAUACUGACUUACUUUCGGAGUUUUUUUGUCCACAAGAAUGUCUCUCCUCCAUUGAAAGGAACUUCUUUUUGCAAAUGGAGUCUCAAACCUCACCAAAAUUGCAAAGGUAAAGUUCAUUUCACCCCUCUCAGGCCCCACUGGAUAGAAUCCUAUGUAGGCUCUGGGCUUAAUACUACUACCUUGUUCCAAGUAGAAGGCAGAGUUUGUGUGGCGCUUGGUUUGUUUUGACUUUAAGAGUUGCUAAAUUCAGGUCUUUGAUAUUUGACCAUGUUUCGGAGCUAUUGAAAUAGACUUGGGUUUUCGUCAAUAACAAAUGAAUGAUAUUUUUGUUUUCUCAGAAGACACUCAUACCUGUGAAUGAGUUAGGCUGGGAUUAUGGUUUCUGGUUUACCUGUGGGGCUACUGACUCUCAGGCUACACAGAGCUAGCCCAGGCUCCUGCAGUAGGUUGGUGACAGCUGGACUCAGGCCUGGCUCCCUGCUUCUUACCAGCUGUCUUGGCACUUCAGUCAAACCACCUGGGGCUCCAUUGCCUCAUCUAAGAAAUACAGCAAAUACUGCCUAUUUGCCUUGUUGUUUGUGAAGGUCAUUUGAAAUAUUUUCUAUAGAAGGGUAUUGUAAACCACAGAAUGGUUUACUGGUAUUAAUAAUUCUUACAUAUUUACCUAGUUUAUUGACAGAACUGGAAGAUGACUCUCAGCCGUCUUAGACGAAUCCUCCAUUUCCCAUUUUCAACACACCACCUUCAUGAAGGUAGAAGAACCAAAUGUACAAAGUUAAAUCCUCUUCUCAUGUAGGGAUCUCUGGCCCCUUCUCUGGAGGCAGGUAAAGGUAACCUUGACUUUGGAAUCCACUCUUAUAAGGUGGAUGGGGUAGAACAAGUCUCCUUGACAAUUGACAGACCUAAGUACACGUCAUAAAGACAAGCUACAGAGAAAAAUUGCUUUAAGGAAACUUUAAAUCUCUCAUUAUUUCUUGUAUAUUAAGGAAGAUGAUUACUCAUAUAAAGCAAACUAGUAGGAGUGAGGAAUAUUCAAC
rnacentral:lncRNA from 1 species